rnacentral:miRNA from 1 species
UUGGAUUUUGAUUCAUAGAUUCGU